GGCUGAAGUCAAGCGAGCCAACCAUGACCGGCAAAACACAGACCAGUAAUGUCACCAAUAAGAAUGACCCCAAAUCCAUCAACUCGAGAGUCUUCAUUGGCAACCUCAACACAGCCAUUGUCAAAAAGGGUGACAUAGAGGCGAUCUUUGCAAAGUAUGGAAAAAUAGUUGGCUGCUCGGUGCACAAAGGUUAUGCGUUUGUACAGUAUAUGAGUGAGAGGCACGCGAGGGCUGCUGUGGCAGGAGAGAAUGCCAGGAUCAUUGCGGGGCAACCUCUUGGUGAGUAUCUGUAUGCUAUCCCAUGUGUUCUGUCAUUUAUGCUUUUACUCUUCCUUGUAAAACCCAUUUCCCUACAGCUAUAUGUAC